rnacentral:rRNA from 1 species
GACGAACGCUGGCGGCGUGCUUAACACAUGCAAGUCGAGCGAUGAAGUUUCUUCGGAAAUGGAUUAGCGGCGAACGGGUGAGGAACACGUGAAGAAUCUGCCCUCCACUUUGGGAUAACACAGGGAAACCUGUGCUAAUACCGAAUAUUGAAACAUAAGUGGCAUCACUGAGUUUUGAAAGAAUUUCGGUGGAGGAUGACUUCGCGGCCUAUCAGCUAGUUGGUGAGGUAAUGGCUCACCAAGGCAACGACGGGUAGCCGGCCUGAGAGGGCGACCGGCCACACUGGGACUGAGACACGGCCCAGACUCCUACGGGAGGCAGCGGUGGGGAAUAUUGGGCAAUGGAGGAAACUCUGACCCAGCGACGCCGCGUGCGGGAUGAAGGCCUUCGGGUUGUAAACCGCUUUCAGUAGGGAAGAAGCGAAAGUGACGGUACCUACAAAAGAAGCACCGGCUAACUAUGUGCCAGCAGCCGCGGUAAUACAUAGGGUGCAAGCGUUGUCCGGAAUUAUUGGGCGUAAAGAGCUCGUAGGUCGUUUGUUACGUCGGAUGUGAAAACCUGAGGCUCAACCUCAGGCCUGCAUUCGAUACGGGCAAACUAGAGUUUGGUAGGGGAGACUGGAAUUCC